rnacentral:lncRNA from 13 species
GUUUCCGAGCAGCUGCUCCCUAGAGCUGUUCGCGAGCUGGUCAGCCAGCACGUAUUUCACCAACGACACUGGGUGCUAGGCCCUGCACUCAGCCCUUUCGUCCUCCCCGGGGCUGAGCCGAGGGUGCCCCAACACUGGUCCGAGCGAGCCUGGAGACACAGCGCGGGGGCUGCGCUCUCCGGCCUGGUCGCUUUCCACUCACGCCUCGCUUAGUAGCUGCCGCCCCGCCCGGCUCUGCCCAUGGGCGCCCCCUGGCUGCAGGAGGCAGAGCGCACACCACGCCCUCGGGGCUCGGUCCCAGCUCUUUCACGCGCCUCGCGCCGCUCCGCCCGCACCCCCAGCUCGCGCUGCGGCGGCCAACCUCAGCCCCGGAGACCGUCCGAAGGUCUCUCGAGCUUUCAGUGACCAGCCAGGGCGCGCGGCUGGCUAGAGCCGUUCCCCAGCAGCAGGCCUGGCUCUCCCUGAUCAGCGAGCGCGGAUACCGGGUCACCUCCCUCCCUCUGCCGGACUCCAGCCCGACGCCAGGCCUCUGGGGGCAAGCGCUGUGCUUCAGAAGAGAGACGGGAUUUCACCAUGUUGGCCAGGCUGGUCUCGAACUAACAGCCUCAGGAAUUGCCCUUCCAACCAGAACCAAGACAGACUGUCACCUCAAAUAUAAGAGGAGUCUCAGCACUGUUCCUCAGCGCUCUUCUUCCCCAAGCUGCCCUGUGAAAUGGGGACACUGGGGAAGGCAGAGGCAAUGGCAUGAAGGCUCUAAGCCAUUUCAGAGGAGGCACUAGCUGACAUGAAGAUGAAAACCACAGAUGACGGGGCCUGAUAAACCCUGAACCAAAACCCUAAGUGUGUACCAUCUUGGACAGAGUCUGUGAUUUUGACUAUGCAUGAGAAGAAAGAGAAUGCAAGUGCUCUCUUCAUUCAUGGAGUUUUGAACCCAGAUGCCUCAGAGAGUGCCUUCCACCCAUCUCAUAUAUGAGUCAUGAAUGGCAAAUGAUACCUGAGCAGGGGAGGCCUAUUGGUCCUGCCGUCCCUCUCAAGGGUGCCUGCCGGUGCAGAUCAGGGCUGGAGUCCUAUCUUGGUGAAGGGCAGGAGGAGCUCAGGUCGGCUGCCCUCUGAAGCCUCUCCAGACAUCACCACAAACGGCUACCAUUACCCAGCCGCCCUUCACGCCCCAGAUACAUUGUUUUUCUUUUUUUUCUGAGGCUCUGUCACCCAGGCUGGAGUGCAGUGGUGUGAUCUUGGCUCACUGCAACCUCCGCCUCCCAGGUUCAAGCGAUUCUCCUGCCUCAAUCCCUGAGUAGCUGGGAUUACAAACAUGUUCCAUCCACCAUGCCUGAAUGGUUUUUGUGUUUUUAGUGGAGAUGGAGUUUCACCGUAUUGGCCAGACUGGUUUGGAACACCUGACAUCAGGUGAUCCACCUGCCUCAGCCUCCCAAAGUGGUGGAAUUACAGGUAUGAGCCACUUCACCUGGUCAGAUGCAUAGUUUUUCUCAUGCUUGUCCUUGCACAUCUCCCGGGUGCAGGAAUGUUUGGAGCCCAUGAAGUGAUCUGUGCUGAACCCCCAAACCUGAAAGUCAGGGCCAAUUCUCUUUGCCUCCCAUACUAGGUGGGGCCUUAGGUUUUGCAUGAAAACUAAAAGCCCACAAGCCCAAAGGUUCUCCUCUCUUUACCACUAUUUCCAAACAUAAACAAGGAAAUUGUUGGAUGAGCCAAAAUAACCCCAAGAAGAAGGAACAAGUGCUAGUGACAUCUUCACAUGAGGAUGGAAGCCUCAUGAAUUCA